rnacentral:rRNA from 1 species
UGGGGAAUAUUGGGGCAAUGGAGGAAACUCUUACCCAGCAAUGCCGCGUGAGGGAUGGAGGUCCUAUGGAUUGUAAACCUCUUUGAUUAGGGACAAAGAAAGUGAUGGUACCUAAAGAACAAGCCCCGGCUAACUAUGUGCCAGCAGCCGCGGUAAUACAUAGGGGGCGAGCGUUGUCCGGAAUGACUGGGCGUAAAGGGUGUGUAGGCGGUUAGGUAAGUUAGAAGUGUAAUACCCAGGGCUUAACUCGGGUGCUGCUUCUAAUACUGCUUGACUUGAGUGUCGGAGAGGAUAGUGGAAUUCCCAGUGUAGCGGUGGAAUGCAUAGAUAUUGGGAGGAACACCGGAGGCGAAAGCGGCUAUCUGGACGACAACUGACGCUGAGGCACGAAAGCGUGGGGAGCAAACAGGAUUAGAUACCCUGGUAGU